UACGAAGGAUCCAAGCGUUAUCCGGAUUUAUUGGGUUUAAAGGGUGCGUAGGCGGGCUAUUAAGUCAGUGGUGAAAGCCUGCAGCUUAACUGCAGAAUUGCCAUUGAUACUGAUGGUCUUGAGUACACUUGAGGUGGGCGGAAUGUGUCAUGUAGCGGUGAAAUGCUUAGAUAUGACACAGAACACCGAUUGCGUAGGCAGCUUACUACACGAUCAUUGACGCUGAGGCACGAAAGCGUGGGGAGCAAACAGG
rnacentral:rRNA from 1 species